UGAAUGAAACAAUGUCUUCUCAUCAAGGAAAAGACUUGUGUUCUCCUUAUAGAACAUAAUUUAUUAUGUGAGGCAUUUGCCAUUACAACAUCUUGUCCAGGGUAUGAUUUUUCUUCCACUAAACUGAACUGCCUCGCAUACAAUUGUAUGUAAUACCCCCUUUUCCAAAAAUAAAUGACAUCCUAUGGGUAAAAUAGUUAUGCUGAACCAUGGUGCCGUCAUACAAACAGUGUAGAUUUCAGAGCUAGCGUAUACUUCCUAGAUGUUGAGUAAUUGUUUGUAACUUGCUUAUAGACCUCAGUAGUUUAGUUGUUUGUAACUUUGCUCACAUACUUCAGUAGUUUGGUGUGAAAAAUGAAAGGGUAUCUAGAAAAGUAUUGGGUUAGUGCUACCGAUGACAUUUGAAAUAAGUAAAUAAACACACAAGGUUUGAAUUUUAUUUAUUUUUAGUUUUCCAGAUAAUGUGGUUCAUGCUGAUGUGAUCAGAGACAUUAUGAUUGAUGCUACAUCCUCUCUUUGUCCAUAGAUCUAGGUUUUUACACAUCGCUGGUACUUGUUAUAUUGUUUGGAUCUGACUGUUCUGCGUAAUCACCAAAAUUAACUGUGACCAGAAUCCAUGCGGGAAACAUGCAGUGUACAGAGAAAUCAGCGCUUUCACAGGCUGAUAGGAGAAAUUUUUGGGUGGGGCCUGCAUGUUUCGAGAGAAUUGUCGUGUCAUAGUGCUAACUAGGAAAAUGUUGAGGAGGUCCUGUUGCGUCCCAUGUUCAAUAUAAGGGGGUGUUAAAAGGGACUCGAAGCAUUUUCAUGUGUCGAUGGCACGAGAGAUCCUCCCGAUACUCUCCUCAAGGUUGACCCAACUAGAUCCUGAUGCGCCAGCGGCACGGGUGGUCAGGCCUGAGCAGCGAGCUCUUCUGCCCCCUCCUCAUUGGAUCGGCGGCCAGGGAGGCCAGAUCGCGUGGCACGAGAGAAGGCUCAUGUGUGAGGAAGGGGAGCAGCAACAUGCGUCGAUUGGGGAAGGGAGGAGCAACGGGUGCCACUGAAGGGAGGGGAGCAGCGGCAAGCGCGGAGGGAGGGGAGCACGGGAGCCCCAAGGGAGGCGGAGCAGCGGCAGGUGGCGUGGAGGUUGGAGAUCUUGGUGAGGACGGCGCGACGCGAGGUCAUGGUGGCAUGUGUCGGAGCAGUGGUAGGUGGCGUGUGCAGGUAAAUAGCAACAUCACUACCUCUUUUAUUAUGUGCAUAUUACAUUUUGAAUAUUUCAAGUAACCAGAUGGACGUGAACAUAUACACAUAAUCCACUUUCCGGUUGAAGCUUAUUUUCUUGCAUGAGUGGUGAAGAAAAUGAGUGACAAGGAUGAUGAGAAUAAAGGGAGUGCAAUGUGGUUAUUGAAGAAGGGCAAGGAAGAGGAAGACACAUGUUAGUCGGGUGAAGUCAGCAGCGAUCGCUAUCAGUGAUGUUAUUGGCCAAAUAGGUUGUCUAAACAUUUUGCUAGGUCUCCCUCAGGGAUGAUGGUGUAACCUUGUUUCAAGUAGAUAAACAGAAGUGGGCUAAAAGAGUGUCAUAUUACAACAGAUCAGUUGGUGUGAAACUAGAUGUUGGACUAA